CCUACGGGUGGCUGCAGUGAGGAAUAUUGGUCAAUGGACGAGAGUCUGACGCAGCCAAGUAGCGUGAAGGAUGAAUGCCCUAUGGGUUGUAAACUUCUUUUAUAUGGGAAUACAAUGUUCCACGUGUGGGAUUUUGUAUGUACCAUAUGUAUAAGGAUCGGCUCACUCCGUGCCAGGAGCCGCGGCAAUACGGAGGAUCCGAGCGUUACCCGGAUUUAUUGGGUUUAAAGGGAGCGUAGGUGGAUUGUUAAGUCAAUGGUGAAAGUUUGCUGCUCAACCGUAAAAUUGCAGUUGAAACUGGCAGUCUUGAGUACGUUAGAGGGUAGCGGAAUUCGUGGUGUAGCGGUGAAAUGCUUAGAUAUCACGAAGAACUCCGAUGGCGAAGGCAAUUCACUGGACUACAACUGACACUGAGGCUCGAAAGUGUGGGUAUCAAACAGGAUUAGAUACCCUUGUAGUC
rnacentral:rRNA from 1 species